GUCUCGGUGAAGAGCUCUAGACCAUAGGAAGUGCCGUAUGACACUGCCGUGUUUAUCAUAACCUCUGUGGUUUUGUCUGGGAUGGUAUUACCCAAUUGCACCGGCUUGAUUCAGCUGUGUGCUUGAUUUUAAACGAGGAUUUCUGCAAU
rnacentral:snoRNA from 1 species